rnacentral:rRNA from 1 species
AUGCACGACGAGACGGCCACCACCAAGACCAAGACGAGCAUACCGUACCUGCCGGACGAGCUGGUGUCGGAGAUCCUUCCCCGGAUCCCCGUGGAGCCGCUGCUCCGAUUCAGGUCCGUCUGCAAGGCCUGGCGCGGCAUCAUCGACGAGGACUCCUUCCACCGGGAGCACCUCCGCUACCAGACCUCCUCCCUGCUCGUCGCGCCCUGGAUCGGUGAGAACGACGACGAUGGCCCUUUCGCUUCCUCGACCGGAGAGGUGACCGCCGCCGGUUUCUACCAGUGGGAUGGGAAGCAGCAGGACGCCGCCACACUCGUACACGCCAUGCCCAACUACCACAACAAGAUGGAGGCGUUGCACAGCAUGGCACACUGCGAUGGACUGGUGUUGUUGCCCGCUGACGAUACGGUGCACGUAGUUAACCCUGCCACUCGGCGCACCAUCACGCUUCCCCCUACCCCUAACGCCAUCUUUCGAGGUCCUCAUCAGGCGUUCGGUCUUGGCCACGACCCUCGCUCCAAUACUUACAAGGUUGCUCGCUUGUAUGUCCAUCGGGACAGAUGCACCCCGGGUGGAGACACUGUCAGGAUGGGGGUGUGCACCAUAGGAAAAGGCCUUUGUUGGCGUGACGCGGCGGUAUCGCCGCCGCCGCAUCAUUUCAUGCCAAGGCGAACGGCGACCUUCUUCAAGGGCUCCUUGCUCUGGAUCGUCAAGCAGGUGGUUCCUCACGGUUCACCAGCUGCUCCAUCCUUCAUUCGUUUCAGGUUGGAGGAUGAAUCGUUCAGAAUCGUACGGGCGCCUCCUUGCACUCCGAAGUUGGACUACGAGGCUUCCAGUUUAACCGAGCUCCGCGGGGAGCUGUGUGUAUGCGCACCUCGGGCAGCAUACGAUCACGCGGUUUUUGAAAUGUGGAUGUGCGGUGAUCUGGAUGAUGGCGUCAAUCCGCCACGAUGGGAUCUGCGUCGUGUCAUCACCGGGCCCUUCUUAUUCCGAUCUUUUAUUCCGAAGAUCGCGACCGCCGACGCCGUAGUGAUCCAUUUUCAAGAAGACUCUCUCUACUACUGCAAUCUUCAAACUCCUGUGUUUAAUAUGAAGGAUGUCAUUGAAAUGGGGCACUUGAGGUAUCAUCACCUCGACACCGACAAGUUUGUCGAAUACACACGAAAAAUUGUUGCCAAUUUUUAUGUAAUCUCCUAUGUUCCAAGCCUAGUUCGGAUCUAG